rnacentral:lncRNA from 1 species
CCUGAAGGAAGCCGUGGGAAUAACGGCCAGCACCAACAGAGCAGUUGCUGCAAACAGGCCCCUUAGGAGCCUUCUUGACUCCCAGCACCCCGCGAGCAGUUCCUGCCGUCACUCGCCGCUCGUGAUCCCAGUGCUGGGCUGCCCGGCCUUGUUCCCUGCAACUCAUAAGGAGGGAAGCCCCAGACCCCCUUGGAUUUCUGCAUGUGGCUCUUGGGGGAAGCCCCGCCGUCAGGACCUGCCUCUAGGUGAGAGAUAGCAGCAGCCCACUAAGUCCAGCCACACCAGCACCACAGCCAGGCUCUCUGGGAGGCGCCGGCAUCCUCAGCCCUCAUUCUUCCCUUCAGGGUCAUGACGGCGGGUCCAGCUGCCAGCACCAAAAUCUUGUGGUCGCAGUGGACGGACCAAGGUUCCCCAGACCAGACGGCAUCAGAGCCAGACCCUGGGGUUUCAGCUCCCUGCUCGGGAGUGUGGAACACGGGAUACACUUGUCUUUUAGUGAGCCUUGAGGCGCAUCAGGAGACCAGCUGCCAGAUGCCCUCGUGGUCACCCUCUGAGACCUGCCUCCGCCAAGGAAACUCCCACCCAGGGCAACACAGACAUAACCCCAAGUAAUACAAUCAGCUACGGG